AUAUUCCAGUAGAACAAAUAAACUUCAUAGUAGACUCAUUGGAUACAUUAUUAAAACGCGAUUUAGUUUAGAAUUAAAAUACGAAAAAACUAAGGAGUGGUACAGUAAGGGGGCGGGGCUUCUUUUCUUUCUUUCUGUUUUCUUUCUUUCUUUCUCUGUUUCAUUUCCUGACGACCUAACCAUGGUGAGUACCGCUGCUUUGAAGCGCUUUCCUCUGCGACUACUUUAUAUCAUUAUUAUUAAUCUGUAUAUCGAUACUUUCCCUUGCCAGUGAGUAAUUGUUGUUCUGUGUCGUGUGUUAUUUCAGGAUGAUCCAGAGCAAAUACGCACAGAAGAAUUUCUGAAAGAUGAGGACCCUUUCAGAAGGAACGCCUUCGUGCUCAUCGAAACAAUGAUGGAUCUGAUGAGCCACGUUUCUGGUGAAGUCACAGCUUUAACUGAUGAGAUUCUUCACAGCAUCUUCUUUUUUGGAAAAAUCAACAAUCCACCAUAUUCUCCAGAGGAAAUUGUGACUGAUGGAGAGAUGUUGAACGUAUUGGAGGACCUCUUCCCUCGACCCUUUGACCUUUAUUCCUCUCAGCUACCAAAGCGGGGUCCGUUUUCAUGCCUGCUAGACAUGGUUGUCCACCUGAAAGGACGAGACAACGAAAUGUUAAUCAUAGAUUGCCUGCGCGCGAUCAUCAGGGAUCUGAAACUCAGUAAGCAUCUGGUGUCCUCCACCAUCUGUGUCUCUCACAUAGCCGAUACUAAAGAUCCAGUCAAGUACUAUGGAGUCUCCAUGUCCGCUCGUGGCCGUCUUCCGAAGAAAAUCAUGAUUGUUGCGUCCUGUCUCGGCACCUGGGACAGGUAUGUAGCAGGUGCAGUGAUGACCUACUUUCCAUCCGAGCAGAACGAUUUUGACGGAACUAUCCAACUUCCUGAGCGUGUCAGGUGCCAGGCGUUCAGCCUCUGGAGGAACAAACCCAUGCUUCCUUGCGGAUCAUGUGGCAAUUUGUUUGGUUUGAAACCAUGUGAGAAGAAGGAGUGGGUAUAUGGCAACUGUGCCGAAGUUGAAAGUUUGAGCAACUUGUUUAAACAUGUGGAUGACGUCAAAGUGAGCGCACGACCAACAUCUAGGAUGUACUCGGAUGGGGCGAUGGAUGACCUUGAAGGGCGUUUUAGGAGAGAGCUCGUCAAUUGGCUUAUAGAUCGGGACUUUUUUUGGGACGAAAAAAAGUUCUUCAUCCCUAAAUGUCAUGAUUGAAUAGCCUAUUACAUAGUGAUAAUUAGAUUAGAUUAGUGACAGCGGACCUGUAGCACUCUUUUGGAGAACGGCAUCCACUGUCCCUGCAGUAGGUGAUGGAGAGGGUCCAGUUAUCCAAUAUGGACAAUAAUUUCUUCAGUGUCCUACUCCCGUCCACUCACAGGCCCACAACUCCUGUGAUCGUUCAUUAUGGCGUGAACAACUAUUAUUGUUGAUUAUAUCCUUGUGAUCAUAUAGACACUGAAAUUCCCACGUGGGGCCGAUCACACCAGACGCUUCAAAAACGCUCCCUGGCAACAGCUGAUGAGCCUGUGGAGAGGGGGUGCGCGCGCAACCAGGCGAUCAAACUUAAAUCACGUGGGGGAUGUUUCAACGCAGACAUCCAUCACUUCUUAAUCUUCCUCGUAAUUAACGAUCACUCAUAUCAAUGUCUGUUCCAACCACAUCUACCAGCUUAAAAAUCAGGAAGUCAAAGGUGAAGUAGUAAAGCCCGCCUCUUGCUUGAUUUGAUUGGUUCCCUCGGUCCAGUGACGGCGGUGCGACUGCGCACGCAGCACUGAAGACUUGAGGAAUAUUUAAACUUUUAUGCGCGUCAUAAAACCGCCAGAGCUGUCUCUAUAUUGAAUUGUUUUUAACAACGCUUAUUGUUAAUUAUUCAGCUUCUUACAAACAAUAAAAACAUGAAUGCAUUAAUGGCUACCAAGAUAUAUAAGUGCAUGUAUUGAUCCUGUCAAUGGCAAUAAAAUCCAAAGAUUGUU